UACAGAGGAUGCAAGCGUUGUCCGGAAUCAUUGGGCGUAAAGAGCGUGUAGGCGGCUCGGUAAGUCCGCUCUGAAAGCCCGGGGCUCAACCCCGGGAGGCGGGCGGAUACUGUCGGGCUAGAGUCCGGAAGAGGCGAGUGGAAUUCCUGGUGUAGCGGUGAAAUGCGCAGAUAUCAGGAGGAACACCGGUGGCGAAGGCGGGUCUCUGGGCCGUUACUGACGCUGAGGAGCGAAAGCGUGGGGAGCGAACAGG
rnacentral:rRNA from 1 species